rnacentral:rRNA from 1 species
UACGAAGGGGCUAGCGUUGCUCGGAAUUACUGGGCGUAAAGCGCACGUAGGCGGAUACUUAAGUCAGGGGUGAAAUCCCGGGGCUCAACCCCGGAACUGACCUUUGAUACUGGGUAUCUCGAGUCCGGAAGAGGUGAGUGGAAUUCCGAGUGUAGAGGUGAAAUUCGUAGAUAUUCGGAGGAACACCAGUGGCGAAGGCGGCUCACUGGUCCGGUACUGACGCUGAGGUGCGAAAGCGUGGGGAG